UUUUUGCAGGAGUCCAUAAAAGAAAAUAUUAUUUCACAGACUUACAUCAAAGAAAACUGUCUCUCAUUCUUUGCAGUUUUUGAGGAUGAUGCUCCAUGAGGAAUUCUAGAAGGAAGAUAGAUGUAGUGUGGGCACCUUUCAAUAACAGUGAUUUCAGUAAUUCUCAAAUGUUUAAGUGGCACUGAGUACCCGAAGGUCUGAUGACCCAGUAGGUCAAUCUUAAGGAUCAAAUCUGAAGUUUGAUCCUACUCUAAGAGGCAAACUCAAGACCAAGCUGGAGUCUGGUUGAGGACUUCUGAAUCCUUUUGUGUCAUUUUGUUCUCUCAAAUUUGACAACAUCACUCUCUCUCCUUGCAAGGUGCCCAAGGUCUGACACCUAAGUGACCUUAGAGUGGAGACCUGAAAAUACUAGAUGCAACUUUUUUCUACUGCAGGUUUUCUAAUAAGACAUGGCUAGAAAAUACAUAAAGCUUUCUUCAGUAAAAGGAGCCAAACAGCGAAGUUAUAGUAAUGAAUAAACUGAUGAAGGCUGAAAGUGCUUCUAAGUUGGCUGAAUCUUCCUGUAAUUAUUACAAGAAAUGUGGCUGGAAAUAAAUUUGCAGCUAAGAAUUCAAUAAUGUCAACCAACUUUGUUCCAUUCCUGAUGGAUUUCAACCAUCCUAAUGAAUCACCUAAGAGAGUAAGUGAUUUGGUGAGCACAACUAGAAACCUCUGACCUGUUGUGAGACCUAGAGUGCUACAUACUAUGUUUCCACUUUCAGAUCAUCUCCCUCUUCCUUAUAGUGACUUAUCUUUAUAACUAAGUUAUAUCCUUGUUAAUGGAGAAAUAAUACUUAAUAAGAAAAUUAAAAUCCUUAAAAGAAUUUAUAUCAAGCUAAGGCCAACUGAAAUUCACUAAGAAGACUAAUGUUACCAAACUGUAAUCAAUUCUUAAAAUAUUGCUGCAUGUUCACAUGACAGACUGCCUGUUCCUGAAAUAAUAAGCUGCUUCAGCAUCUGUAUCUAAGUGUAUAAUUAAAUCAUGAGCUUUAUUUGGUAAAAUGUAAUACCUGUUCUUGUUUAGUGUAUGUUUGUUUUAUCCAUUCAGUUUUAAAACAGCUGAGAUCCAAAAAGGAGACAGGAAAUGAAAAACAAGCUCAUGAAGUAUUUAUUUGAUAACACCCCAGAAAAUCUGAAUAACCAAAGAGAAUAUGAAGUUCUAAUUUUUAAUUAAUUAUAGGUUAUUUCUGCUCAAACUUACUGUUCAUUGGCCCAGACCUAAGUCAGAUAAAAGACAAUGAGAUUUUGUUGUUGUUGUUGUUGUUUUUCAAGAAAUUGCCUCUUGAUACUUAAUGAGUCUUUUGGCCAUAAACUGGCAGUGAAGCUUUUCUGAGCCUCACUUCCUCUGUAAUCCAGUCUGUGUUUAAUUUUCUGUUCCGUCUGAUAAUUUCCUUUUGGAAUAGGCAGUUUUAUGUACACUAAAUAAAAGUGCUUGCAAAAUAUUUUUCAAUCACUAACAAGACUAGUUUUGCUAUAUGAUUUAAUUUUUUUUACUAUAAUAACAUCGUAAAGUGUUUAAGCUUGCUGUUAUGCCUUGGCCCAAUGUGCCAGUUUGUAUACUUUUAAUAUCUCCUUGUGAUUCAGUUGAAAUCUCCCCAAAAUAUUAGUUUGUGGCACUGUUACUGAUUGAGCUUGUAAGUAGAACAUAAACAUCAACAAGACACGAGGAAAACGUGAAACAGUUAAAGACAGUCUAUGACAGGAUUCAAGGCUGUCAGCACUGAUGUGUUAAAUUGUUGCUAAAUCCUAUUUCCGUGUCACCUGAAGAACGUCCAAGAAGUAGCCAGAAAGAUCAAACUCCUGCUCAGGAAGACUGGUCAUCAUUUCAGCAAAAAGCCUUUUUUAAUCCUUUUGAAAUCAACAGGAUUUCUGCCUGCCUACAAAGUGCAGAGCAAGGACCAUAGAACAGCCAGUUUUGCAGGCAUUUUCCCUUCUGUCCCUGCUCUGGUAGCAGUAACUCUUAAUGCAUUAAAUGUUGGUUAGUGCCUGCCUCUUGGGGAGGUGCAAUGACCAGCAGUGCCUGGAGAAGAGGAAAAUGCGCUUCCCAGCUUCCAAGCAACAUCUGGAUAGGAGCAUUCCAGCCCUGAGGUUCCUCAGCAUUUUUGUCACAUUCUUGGAACAUGGGAUUAGCACCCAGCCUUGGUGAGAUUGUUCAGGUUCCGCUGUGGCCAGGGAGUGAGCACGUCCAUUCAUUGUGUUAUCUCAAUGUUUCAAAAAUCUCUUAAAUUCACAAGAAGAAUCCACAUCUGGGUUUUUAAACUAAAUCUGGAGUUCUGUUUAUUACCUUCAGCCUGCUUUUAGAAUUUAGGGAAAAAAGGUGUUUAGAUUUUCUCCAAAAAAGAAUUUAUUAUUUUUAUGAACAGUUGUUGAGCAGGAACGUUUGGGUGUUCUGAAAUAAUAAUGAUUUUUGUGCCUCUAAAAUUCAAAUGUAACUUUUUAAGCUGAUGUUUUGCAGACAGAAAAAAAAGCUGACUGGCAUCUGUUGAGAAAUGCUGUUUAAAUUCUUUUGCCUAACAACACAGCAAUCAUAUACGAGUGACAACUGAGAGAUUAUUUCAAUGUCAAUUUAAUCGUAAGUGGAAAAGAGGCAACAGUCUCUUUUUAUGCUACCUAGCUACUCAUAUUAGUCUUAGAAAAAUAGUAGGUAGAACUGCACUGGCUCUAAGUCAAGCAGCUUCAAAUUACAUCCUGUCACAGGCUUAAACUCUCUUCAGAAGAUGAUGCUUCUGGUCAGUUUAUGGAUGGAUCUGUGAUCAGAGACUCUCAGAAUGCAACUGUUGGCAUAGUUCAGAAGAGAGCAAAGAUGACUUGAAAUUGCCAGAAGCAACAGAAGGGAGACAUGUGUCCCUCCUGUCUGCUCCUAAACUGCAGAUCUGAUGCAAAUCUUUAGUUCUGGUAACUGAAACUUGCCAAGUUAGGCAAGAGAGAGAAAUCAUAGAAUGUGAGAAAAUUUUAAUAGCUCAUCCCUCAUCCUAAAUGUAGACCUGAGGAAGGCAAUCCCUCUUCAAAUGAGGGAAUUAUGUUGUCUCUGAGAUCUGUGAAAUUCAGAGAUAAGAUUCUUCAUCCUCUCUCUCUUUUAAAAGCCUUGGAGUUCUCUGUUGCCGCACUCUAAAGGGUGUUAUUGUGAGGACCAAAAACAGAUGCACGUUGUUCACCUUUUGACAGUCCUAUCAUAGUGAAAAGUCAUAACAACAUAAGGGUCUCCGAGAAGGAUAUGGGAAAAAUUUGGUGGACUCAAUUCCUCUUCUGGUGAAGAGGUGUUUGUAUAAUAGGGAGAAAAAAAAAAAGAUAUAAACACAGCUGGUAUUAAUUGGCAGCAGUAGUAACCCUUACUGCAAACAUCAUUAAAGAGGCUAAUUUUGUACAUUAUGGAAUUAGUUACUACCUUGCCCUUAGAAACAACGUCCAGGUAUGGGGGAGACACCCUGGCUGAGCUGUUUCCACUACAGCUGCCCUAAGCGGUUCUGUGGGUGGUUACCUCACUUUAGCCACAGAAAUGACUUGUGUGGCACCUUUCCAACCGUAAGUAACAUAACACUGAGAAAAGGACAGUUGUUUGUUUUUAUUGGUAAACCUAUGAAAGACUGAAAAUGUCAGCAAGAUUUUAGGGUCACUGAAUUUCCUGAGGUAAUGCUCAUCUGCUCUAAGUACUGAUGGAUACUGAUUUGAAUAGUCAGUUCUAUCCAAAAUCUCCCUUCUGUUAAGUUCUAGAUAAACUCAUUCAAUUUUUAUUUCUAAAAGAUUUUGAAAUGUGUUUUUAAGGAUGUCAAGUCUUUGUACUGGUAACUACAGUGCUAUAUGUCAAAACCCAUCUCCAUAUUGCAAUGAUGUCACAAUUUAUCCUGGCAAUAAACAUUAUUGCAUAUUAUAUGUUACAUAGAAUUUCUUCGUUUCAGUAAGAUGCCUCACUUAAUAAACAAAAGACAGAAUUUCACUUCAAACUUUUGGAUGGCUAGGAAACCAGU